ensembl:lncRNA
AGUUAAAUCCAUUUCCAGCAACAAAUUCUUGUUGUAAUUGAGUGAACACAUCAUUUAACUUGUGGAUGUUGUUUUCGACCAGCUGCGAGGUUCAGUGAGCUCCCUGCUGCAGACUGUAGCCAGAGAUGAAGACAUGUCCUGGGCCAGGAGGGAGCAACAGGCGCUGGGCAGAGUGCCCUCUAGAGGUGGGAGGUAGACUGUACUAAUCCCAUUUUCUACAUUUUAAUAUGAUUCUGGAAAGAAGAAAAGCAGUAUUUUCCUCUACAGCAUUAAAUGAACAUAAUGUAUUACUGUUUUCCUGUUUAGUUUCAGGACUGAGUAAAUUUAUUUUUUGCAUGAAUUGUUUCUGCACACAUGAAUUUAUUUUAAUUUGACUUAAACCAGUUUAAUUACAAAGCAGAAAUCUGUUUUUUCUCAGACUUUUCUCUCUCCCUUCCCCUUCAGCGCCUUCUCCCCUCCCCAGCCGUUCUCGCUCCAGCUCAGUGGGAGAAUCUCUGGGUCUUGGAGGAGGGAGAGUGACGAGAGCCCUGGUGUCUCACCCUUCCUCAUCCAACCCAAAGCUUCUACCUUUCAACAGGGGAGAGACUGUCAUUGUCCUGGUCCAGGAGCCUCGCAACGGCUGGCUGUAUGGACGCACUGACAGCAGCCUGCGUCAGGGCUGGUUCCCUGCUGCUUAUGUGGCUCCUAUUGAGGAUUUCUCCAGCACUUUAGCAACAAGUGGUAGUUCUGUAAGAAGCCACAGUAUGAACAGUCUGCUGGAACCCACUGACACCUACACGGACCAAUCAGAGGGCAAGAGCUACGGAGCUGUCCCGCCCCCGGUCACACCCAAUCGUAGAGCUUCUGAAGACUUCCGGCCGAUCUCGCCACUUCCCGAAAAGAAACUGGAGCCAGAUAUAGAGACAAAACCUGGUCAAAUGAAGAGCUAUAAUGAACACCAACCUCCUCCUCCACCACCGCCACCUCCCCCUCCACCAACGAGUCAGAAUCUUAGCCGGGGUUCUACAGAUUUUCACCCAGUCUCUCCCCUCCCAGAAAGGAAAGGUGAAAUGACAUCUGAUGUCCAGGCAUUAUCACCCCAUGGGCCCCCUGAGAAUCCACUGUUUCCCAGAGGCACAAACCCAUUUGCCACUGUAAAGCUUCGCCCCACGACAACCAAUGACAGAUCUGCUCCUCGAAUCCACUGAUCCAUCAGCGCUCAUGCAGGCAGGGCUUGUAACCAGAUCAGUCUGUGGCAUCAGGGUAUACGUUUUCAGGAUAAUAUGAUGACAAAUCUAAAAUGUGAAGGCUUUGAGCCAUCUGGGCAAAUGAAAGUUUGGUAGUUUUUUUCAUACAGUGUUAGAUAAGAUUAGUUGUUUCUUGCUCCAAAAGCAGAAGUGAUGUAGUUACCUCUUAACAGAUCCAGGCUUGCCUUUUUCACUUCCAGUCUAAGCUUCCUGCCUCCUGGCUCCAGCAGUAUAUUCAGUGCACAGACAGGAGAGCUGUAUUGACAUUGCAAAGCUAUAUUUGUUUCCUAAAAUGUUGAACUAUUCCUUUAAGCUGACGAGUUUAAUUUUUUUGCUUAAGCUGUGUCUUUUUUGUUCAUGUGACACAAAUUUUACAGAACUCAACAUAAAAAUGAAACAAUCGUUUCAGAUCCAACCUGGACUGGUUUUACAUUUGAUCCUAAAUGUGUCUGCUGACAUGACAGUAAUAGUGUUACUAUUACUGAGGUCGCUGCUCUGUCAUAGAUAUGUUUUGCAUUGUUCACUGUGUUAGAAUUUGUGAGUUUAAGGUUGUGUGUUCACUGUGAGCAAGAAUAAGUAAAAAGGCAGUUAUUAUUCAAGUUUUACUUUUAUUAUCAUUUCGUACUCAGUUCCUUUCUCUCUCCAGAGCUCACUUUAUAUGUCGUUAUAUUUACUACAUCAUCUGAUUGGAGGCAGGGAGGAGGAGGGCACAGAGAGGAGGCGAGGUGAGGUGAGGGUGGGUGGAGGGGGAGAGGAGUGGGAGGAAAGUGCACUGAUAUGUGAACAUCUAGAAGUAAAACCAGUCAGACAAAAUGCACAACCUGAAAUACACAGUGAAAGGAAAUUAAGAUUUACGAAGUCUUCAGUACAUCUACACCACCUACAGCACUAAUACCACCUGAUUUGAGACCACAAACUAUCCUCAUGUAAUCAUCAGAAAUGAUUCUGAAACCCAAACAGCAUGAGUGAUUAAAUGUAUAUAAAAAAUGGAAAAUUAAAAUGAAACUGGUGAUGAUUAUGCCUGUAUGUUCCCCCUCAUGGUAACUCCUUGUCAGCCUGUUUCUGGUCAUAUUUUGUAGCGAGCAGGCCUGGUCUGACUCCAUGGGUGGGGUCCCAAGGGAGGUGAGAGGAGCUUGAAGGUGGCAGUCAAAAAAUAUGAAUGCAGGGGCGAAGAGGAGAAGGAAGAAGAAGGGGGUGUUCAGCCGUCCCCCUAUUCAUGCACCAAAGCCUCAAACUCUGAAAAAGAAAAAUGUGCACAAUUGAUGAGACAAACUCUGCUGAUCUCCAUGUUAGUGCUGUCAGCAAAUCCAAUGAAAAGACCAAGGAUGAAUUGACUCCACUAACAGGUAUUAUCUGUGUAACCACAGCCUUAUUCCCUGUGUCACUGAACACAUUUGGCUUGGCUUAAGACCUCUCACGGAGUGAGCACGAACACCACCAGAGCCCUGGAUCGAACUCACUUGAAGUACGGCCAUCAUUAUUAAAGUUUAAUUAUUAAUAAUGUGUUUUUCCUGCUUUGUAAAGUCAAAAUGUCUGCAGUGGGCAGGGACCGUUGCCCAGUCAGCCCCACUGUUGCACUCGAGCAGUUAAUGUGUAUUAAUUCAUGCCUAAGAGCGAUCCCUGUGUCUCUGUGCAGUGUCUACUUCCAGUGUUUUAGGACAUUAUUUAGCUUUUUGUUAAAAAUGAAACAAUAUAUUUGUGAUCUGUUUUGUAACAUUUACAUAUUAAUUUCAGCUUGGAGCUGAAGAGUUAAGAAGCAUUAGGGACCAUGAUGCCUUGUUGCUUUUAGGCUUUUCAGCACAUUUGCCGAUAAUAUGAAAACAACAGAAUUAUUUCAGUUUUAUCAUUUAAAACAAAAACUUGUUGAUGUGACCCUGACUGUUAUAUACUUAAUCUCAUGUGAAUACCUAAACAGCAGAAGAGCUAAUAUUAUCUUGUGAGAAACUGUAAAAUCGUGUUGUAAUUGUAAAAUUAAAAAAAUAUCUCUUUUAUUUUGAGUCAGGAUAAUUUCCA